AUACGUAGGGGGCAAGCGUUAUCCGGAUUUACUGGGUGUAAAGGGAGCGUAGACGGUGUGACAAGUCUGAUGUGACAACCCGGGGCUCAACUCCGGGAUUGCAUUGGAAACUGCCAUACUUGAGUGCAGGAGAGGUAAGCGGAAUUCCCGGUGUAGGGGUGAACUCUGUAGAUAUCUGGAAGAACACCGAUGGCGAAGGCAGGCAUCUGGACGGAGACUGACGCUGAGGCGCGAAGGCGCGGGGAGCGAACAGGUUUAGAUACCCUGGUAGUCCGCGCAGUAAACGAUGCGCACCAGGUGUCGGGCGGCAGCGCCCGGUGCCGGAGCAAACGCGAUGAGUGCGCCGCCUGGGGAGUAUGCCCGCAAGGGUGAAACUCAAAGGAAUUGACGGGG
rnacentral:rRNA from 1 species